AGCACAAGAAAUAGUGUUAAGAAAAAGAAACAAAAUCAAAGAUACUCCGUGGGUGAAAGGAACAAAGGGAUAUGAGACCACAUUUACGACUUCUUCUUCUUCUCCAAACCUUUUUUCUCAAUCAGACAAUGGAAUGGACGUUAUCCACAGCAAUUCUGUUUCAAUGCAAAGUGGGUGCUUUUAUGUGUCUGCUUCUGGUAGUUUAGAGAGUCAAUACAGUGAAUCAUAUAAAUUAGAUCCUGAGGAUCAUGGGGUGGAAUUCGAACAAAAAACAGGAGGAG
rnacentral:ribozyme from 1 species